CACAGGUGCUGCAUGGCUGUCGUCAGCUCGUGUCGUGAGAUGUUGGGUUAAGUCCCGCAACGAGCGCAACCCUUGUCGUUAAUUGCCAUCAUUUAGUUGGGCACUUUAACGAGACUGCCGGUGACAAACCGGAGGAAGGUGGGGAUGACGUCAAGUCCUCAUGGCCCUUAUGGGUAGGGCUUCACACGUCAUACAAUGGUCGGUACAAAGGGUCGCCAACCCGCGAGGGGGAGCCAAUCCCAAAAAGCCGAUCGUAGUCCGGAUUGCAGGCUGCAACUCGCCUGCGUGAAGUCGGAAUCGCUAGUAAUCGUGGAUCAGAAUGUCGCGGUGAAUACGUUCCCGGGCCUUGU
rnacentral:rRNA from 1 species